AUCGGCUUCGGCCGUCUUUGGUGAGUCUGGAUAACUACGCUGAUCGUACGGUCUCGUACCGACGACAUAUCCUUCAAGUGUCUGCCUUAUCAACUGUCGAUGGUAGUUUACACGCCUACCAUGGUUGUAACGGGUAACGGAGAAUAAGGGUUCGACUCCGGAGAGGGAGCCUGAGAAACGGCUACCACAUCCAAGGAAGGCAGCAGGCGCGCAAAUUACCCACUCUCAGAACGAGGAGGUAGUGACGAAAAAUAACGAGACAGUUCUCUAUGAGGUCUGUCAUCGGAAUGGGUACAAUUUAAACCCUUUAACGAGGAUCUAUUGGAGGGCAAGUCUGGUGCCAGCAGCCGCGGUAAUUCCAGCUCCAAUAGCGUAUAUUAAAGUUGUUGCGGUUAAAAAGCUCGUAGUUGGAUCUGCGGUCGUAGACUCUAGUUCCCUUCUAGGGAUACUAGCAGUCUCGACCUACCUUGUUAGAUUUCUCUUGGUGCUCUUUACUGAGUGCCUCGAGUGUCUAGCUCGUUUACUUUGAAAAAAUUAGAGUGCUUAACGCAGGCAUUUGCCUGAAUAGUGGUGCAUGGAAUAAUGGAAUAGGACCUCGGUUCUAUUUUGUUGGUUUUCGGAGCAUGAGGUAAUGAUUAAGAGGGACAGACGGGGGCAUUCGUACUGCUACGCUAGAGGUGAAAUUCUUGGACCGUAGCAUGACGAACAACUGCGAAAGCAU
rnacentral:rRNA from 1 species